GGGCGGAGUCCAACCAACGCUGCGCUCUGGGUUGGGUAUCAGUACAUGUAGCAGUUUUGUUCCACCGGUACUUGAGACAGAGUAUGAAUAUUGUUUAAUCUUUAAGUGGCUGACAACCGCAUGGCUCAGGGGUGCGAUAUAAAGAAAUCAAUUAACUAUUUGGAGGGCUAUUCUAGCUGACUGGAUCUAGCUAUAGUUGUUUUGGAAUUCAAGAAAGACCUCAGACUCUUAGAGAAAGUAGAAGAAUACUGUAGCCUGUAAUAUAAGAUUUAGUACAGGCAGAAAUAAACUUUUUCAUAAUAGUUAGACAUCUAGCACAAGGAGAGGUACAGCCAGCUAUAAGACUACCCCAAGGCUUCUGAGAAGCUUUUCGAAGACCAAAGAAGGCAUACAUAACACAGGUUUUGUCCAAACUAAUGAUCUAAUCUUAUUGGUAGCACAACAAAACUUAAAACAAAGACAAGUCCUUUUAAUUAAUUAAUACAUACUGUUCAAGCUUCAUUCAUAGAUGCUAAGAUAGACUAUGCUUCUUUUCUAGUACCCUAGAUAUCCAGCAGGAGCUGUUUCUGCAUUCUCCAGAGAAAUACAGUGUCCCAGCUCGCCUUGUCAGCUAAAUUGAGCUGUAAGGUUUCCCACUUGAACGCAGCAAUCUGAUUGGGCUGCAAAUUUCUUGCAGUGGGAACAAAACUGCUACAUGUAUAGCCUCGAUCCCAGGCCGAGUUUUCGCUUUUAUAACGGUUAGGCAAACAACUGGUACUAGUUGUCUGCGCAUGCGUCAGUCGUUUGUCAGAUUCUGAUAUUCUCGUUCACUUUCGUGACAUUUAUAUUCGUGUACUAUCGUGUACUAGAAGUCAGUUCCCGUUUUAUCAUUAUUGGAAUCGAUUGGAAUGGCUCUUAGCUGAAGCUUCUCUCUUCUCUGAAGCUUAUUCUGAAGACUGAACAACAAGGGAAGAGGUAUAAAGCUUUGUCAAGCUUGUAAAGGUCAGAUAUUUUUGUGUGGGCCCUAUGGCUAUGCUAUCAAGUCUUGUUCAUGUUUGGCAAGAUCUACCGAUAUGUAGGCAGACUAUAGUUUCAUCAUUAAUAUGGUGGAUCAAGUGAAGAGUGUGAGCUAGAGAACUUGGUGCUGCCAUCAUCAGCUCGUCGACAAUGACACUAACCUGUUUAAUACGAGAAAUUUAAUAUGUAUAGAUCUACACGUAUUUAAAAUGUCUACUUCUCUGUACAGGAGCAAUGGCUAAUAUCCAGCUAUCCCAACAGUGCUCCUCUUGGCUAUACUAACGGACGAGACUGGACAGUUUGAGGACUGCACUGGAGUAUGACCUGCUCAUUCGAGUGUUGCUGGGUAGCUCAGAGACAUCAAGAGAAUCUACGUUUUCUCAAGCAAAAUUUAACUGAGUGACGAGUUGGGGCCUAGAAUCAGAGAAGUCCAGCAGCCUGCUAAAUCUUUUUGAAACGUAAUUUGAAGGCAUUCAAUCAUCCUGAGUUGCCCUGGGUCACUGUAAUUGUGCUGCAGCACAACUGGCAACUCCCCAGGCCUUUGUGAAGCAGCUCCCUAUGUGCAUCUUUUGUGUACUCACUCUGUGCAUUUUCUGUGUACAAAUUUCGAUUAUUGAUUUAUUAAAUAUUUUUGCCGACCACAAA